rnacentral:rRNA from 1 species
UAGAGUUUGAUCCUGGCUCAGGACGAACGCUGACGGCGUGGAUUAGGCAUGCAAGUCGAACGAGAAAUUCCCGAUUCGUCGGGAAGAGUAUAGUGGCGAAUGGGUGAGUAACGGGUAGGUAUCUACCCAAUAGAUUGGGAUAGCCUCAGGAAACUGAGGGUAAUACCGGAUAAGCCCCAAUUAUCGGGGGAAAGAUGGCCUCUGUUUACAAGCUGUCACUAUUGGAUGAGCCUGCUUCAUGUUAGCUUGUUGGUGAGGUAAUGGCUCACCAAGGCAAUGAUGUGUAGCCGGCCUUAACGGGUGUUCGGUCACACUGGGAUUGAGAUACGGCCCAGACUCCUACGGGAGGCAGCAGUCGAGAAUCGUCUACAAUGGACGAAAGUCUGAUAGUGCAACGCCGUGUGUGCGAAGAAGCCCUUCGGGGUGUAAAGUACUUUUUUAUAAGAUAAAGCUUCAAUAGAUUAAUAGUUUAUAGAAGUUGAUACUAUUAUAAGAAUAAGCUCUGGCUAACUCCGUGCCAGCAGCUGCGGUAAUACGAAGGCGACAAGCGUUAUCCGGAUUUAUUGGGCGUAAAGAGUGUGUAGGCGGUUUAAUAAGUUUCUGGUUAAAGCCCUUUGCUUAACAUGGGGACUGCGAGAAAAACUAUUAAACUAGAGGCUGGGGGAGGCAAGUGGAAUUGCCGGUGUAGGGGUUAAAUCCGUUAAUAUCGGCAGGAACACCAAAUGCGAAGGCAGCUUGCUAGAACAGUCCUGACGCUGAGACACGAAAGCGUGGGGAGAGAAGAGGAUUAGAUACCCUCGUAUUCCACGCUGUAAACGAUGGAUGCUGGGUAUUGGAAGUGUCGACCCUUCCAGUAUCGUUAUAAAAAAGCUAACGCGUUAAGCAUCCCGCCUGGGAAGUACGGUCGCAAGACUAAAACUUAAAGGAAUAGACGGGACUCCGCACAAGCGGUGGAUCAUGUGGUUUAAUUCGACGCUAAGCGAAGAACCUUACCAGGGUUUGAAAUGUUAGGUUGUAGAUUGGCCGAAAGGUCAAUUGACCGUUAAACCGGAACCUAAUACAGGUGCUGCAUGGUUGUCGUCAGCUCGUGCCGUGAGGUGUACCGUUAAGUCGGGAAACGAGCGCAACCCCUACUGUUAGUUACUAACGAGUAAUGUCGAGGACUCUAGCAGGACUGCCGCAGAUGAUGCGGAGGAAGGUGGGGAUGACGUCAAAUCAGCAUGGCCCUUAUACUCUGGGCAACACACGUGAUACAAUGGCCGGUACAAAGGGUCGCAAAACCGAAAGGUGAAGCCAAUCCCAUCAAAACCGGUCUCAGUUCGAAUUGAGGGCUGAAAUUUGCCCUCAUGAAGUUGGAAUCGCUAGUAACCGUAUAUCAGCUAUGGUACGGUGAAUACGUUUCCGGAGUUUGUACUCACUGCCCGUCAAGCCAAGGGAGUCGGUAAUACCCGAAAACCUGCGUUCGUGGGGAUAAGGUAGGAUCGGUAACAGGGGCUAAGUCGUAACAAGGUA